rnacentral:rRNA from 1 species
AACGAACGCUGGCGGCAUGCCUAACACAUGCAAGUCGAACGAGACCUUCGGGUCUAGCGGCGCACGGGUGCGUAACGCGUGGGAAUCUGCCCUUGGGUUCGGAAUAACUCGCCGAAAGGCGUGCUAAUACCGGAUGAUGUCGUAAGGACCAAAGAUUUAUCGCCCAGGGAUGAGCCCGCGUAAGAUUAGGUAGUUGGUGAGGUAAAGGCUCACCAAGCCGACGAUCUUUAGCUGGUCCGAGAGGAUGAUCAGCCACACUGGGACUGAGACGCGGCCCAG